rnacentral:rRNA from 1 species
CUCGCGAGUACAUCGGUUGGGUUCCGAAGCAACGGCUGACGAAGAAGGACGCCACAGGGGGCGCUUAGCUCUGGGGAGCCGAAAAGGAGCGGGGAACCGCCGAAAA